GCCAGACUCCUACGGGAGGCAGCAGUGGGGAAUAUUGCACAAUGGGGGAAACCCUGAUGCAGCGACGCCGCGUGAGUGAAGAAGUCAUUCGUGAUGUAAAGCUCUAUCAGCAGGGAAGAAAAUGACGGUACCUGACCAAGAAGCCCCGGCUAACUACGUGCCAGCAGCCGCGGUAAUACGUAGGGGGCAAGCGUUAUCCGGAUUUACUGGGUGUAAAGGGAGCGUAGACGGUUGCGCAAGUCUGGAGUGAAAGGCGGGGGCCCAACCCCCGGACUGCUCUGGAAACUGUGUAACUGGAGUGCAGGAGAGGUAAGUGGAAUUCCUAGUGUAGCGGUGAAAUGCGUAGAUAUUAGGAGGAACACCAGUGGCGAAGGCGGCCUGCUGGACGACAACUGACGGUGAGGCGCGAAAGCGUGGGGAGCAAACAGGAUUAGAUACCCGGGUA
rnacentral:rRNA from 1 species